rfam:Ictidomys tridecemlineatus contig070073, whole genome shotgun sequence.
GGGGUUGUAGCUCAGUAGUAGAGCACUUGCCUGGCAUGUGUGAGGCAAUGGGUUUGAUUCUCAACACCA